AAAUUGCCUAAAUUAUAUAUAUACACACACACACAUACGCCACGCUAAGUGCGUCUUGCAUACCCUUUAGCACACAUACUAGGUAGAGUGAAGAGAUAAAGAAAAUGGGGGCAGGGCGUGAGGUGUCGAUAUCUCUGGACGGAGUGAGGGAUAAGAACGUGAUGCAACUCAAGAAGCUAAAUACUGCACUAUUCCCCGUUCGCUACAACGACAAAUAUUAUGCUGAUGCCCUCGCUUCCGGGGAUUUCACUAAACUUGCAUAUUACAGUGACAUCUGUGUUGGUGCAAUUGCAUGCCGGCUGGAGAAG
rnacentral:misc_RNA from 1 species